rnacentral:tRNA from 1 species
GGGGAUGUAGCUCAACUGGGAGAGCGCUGCCCUUGCAAGGCAGAGGUUAGCGGUUCGAUCCCGCUCAUCUCCA